GACGUAGGGCGCGAGCGUUGUCCGGAUUUAUUGGGCGUAAAGAGCUCGUAGGCGGCUUGUCGCGUCGUCCGUGAAAACCCACAGCUCAACUGUGGGCUUGCGGUCGAUACGGGCAGGCUAGAGUUCGGUAGGGGAGACUGGAAUUCCUGGUGUAGCGGUGAAAUGUGCAGAUAUCAGGAGGAACACCGGUGGCGAAGGCGGGUCUCUGGGCCGAUACUGACGCUGAGGAGCGAAAGCGUGGGGAGCGAACAGG
rnacentral:rRNA from 1 species